UACGGAGGGGGCUAGCGUUGUUCGGAAUUACUGGGCGUAAAGCGCGCGUAGGCGGCUUUGUAAGUUAGAGGUGAAAGCCCGGAGCUCAACUCCGGAAUUGCCUUUAAGACUGCAUCGCUAGAAUCAUGGAGAGGUGAGUGGAAUUCCGAGUGUAGAGGUGAAAUUCGUAGAUAUACGGAAGAACACCAGUGGCGAAGGCGACUCACUGGACAUGUAUUGACGCUGAGGUGCGAAAGCGUGGGGAGCAAACAGG
rnacentral:rRNA from 1 species